AUGCUGUCAUUGGACUAUUAUGUACUUUCUCUACUGUUACUAUCCAUUCUAACAGGUGUCAGCUGUGAAGAACUCACUGCAGUCAGGAAUGAAGAGUUCACUUUAGAAGGCAGCUCUGUUACUCUGUCCUACACAUACUCUAAACUGUUAACUAGUGAUUAUUUCUUCUGGUAUCGACAAUAUCCAGGAAAACCACCAGAGUUCCUCAUCUCACACUCUGCUUCAGGAGCAGUAGGAAAUGAUCCAGUCCCUGGACUGUCUGUUAAAGUGAGUGAUGAUAAAACCCAUCUGGAUCUGCAGAUCUCCUCUGCUGCAGUGACAGACUCUGCUGUGUACUACUGUGCUGUGAGG